AGAACGAACGCUGGCGGCAUGCCUAACACAUGCAAGUCGAACGAGACCUUCGGGUCUAGUGGCGCACGGGUGCGUAACGCGUGGGAAUCUGCCCUUGGGUUCGGGAUAACAGUUGGAAACGACUGCUAAUACCGGAUGAUGACUUCGGUACCAAAGAUUUAUCGCCCAGGGAUGACGCCCG
rnacentral:rRNA from 1 species